rnacentral:lncRNA from 1 species
CAGCUGAGAAGGGAUGGCGAGGGGCCGCUGGCAGCCCGAAAUGACGAAUUUGCAUUAUUAGGAAAUUUUGGGAGCGGGUAGUAGGUGAUCUUCCAUGUAUGUUUGGAAAGCCACUGGUGUCUCGGCCUAGUGAUGGCCUUUCCCUGGUGAUGUGUUCACUUUAACAGCUACCAGAAGCAGAUUGUGGGCGGUGUUUUGCAAUGCUAUUUUUCUAGAACUCACCUCAUUCUCUUAUACUGGCAAUGGCACCCACCUGAGAGGGGCUGGAAUAGUCGUUCCAGUUGAAAAAAAGCCCUGGUGUUUAGGGUGGUUUGUUGCAGAACCAUGCUGUGGCCCGAUAUGUCGAGGGCUUUCUCCUUCCAUCUCUCCUCCUGCUGAAGGUUGUCCUUCCUUUCCUUUCCCUCCUUGCUUACAUUGCCCUAUUUCAUCAGUGAUCACUUUCAGCUCAAGCCUUGGGUUCCCAUCCCACGGAUUCAGGGUUGGGCAAGCUGAGUCAAGUCUUCCUCCUACUGGGUCCCGCUGGCUCGCUCUUGUUCCAUAGAAGGAGGGCAGGUAUGUCACAAAUUGAGCCUGCCUCACCCUUGGCAAGAGGGAUGGUGACUCCACGCGGGGAAGCUGUUAGCUGCCUGGAAGCCUCUGCGGUUUGGUUGUCGUAACCAGAAGGGAGCUCCAACCAGGCUUGCUGGUUUUGCAGCAAACCAGCUCAGCUAACCCCGCUGUAAUGAGUGCCAUAAUGGCUGGGGUUUCCACACUCCCUGUGUCAACACAAAUUGCAUGUAUGAAGCAGAGGAAUUAUUUACGCCUCUGCUUUAUGGGCCGACUGCACGGGAUAUUUUAUUCCUGGGCAUUUUCUACAGCUCUUCCGGUGCCGAGCUCAUACUGGGGCACAUUGAAUUUUUCAGCUUUUGAAUUCCACAUUUGUGCUAAAAUGUCGUAGCAUGACUUGGGAAUUCAAAAGGUAUUUUGGUUAAGUCAGUGUAAUUUAGUUUUGCUUGGUAAACAAAGCAUGGGGGAAAAUUGCAUAGAAAUAAUGGCAAAUGAUUGCUAAGUGCUUGCAGUAGAACCCGUCUCAGUUGCUAAAAGGCACUUCCAGCCACUGAGCCUCUGGUGACAGAGAAACACCCCAGGACUGCAAACCUCCUCCUUCAGGGGCAGUGCAACCCCAUCCAUGGUACGCAGCUGAUCAAUUUCUCUGACACAUGAGUGCCUCCAGGAUUCAAGUUCAGCUUGUUUUCCCUCAUCCAUUUCACCACUGUGUUCAGGCGGUGGAUUAGGGACUGCAAAGCCUCUCCUGAUUUCAGAUCCUAUGGAGAAAUAGAGCUGAGUGUCAUCAGCAUACUGUUGACAUUUUGCCCUGAAACUGCCAAUGGCCACUCCCAGCUGCUUCAUGCAGAUAUUAAGUAGCACUGGGAAUAAGGCCGUCCACUGCAGCACCCCAUAAUGUAAAGGGAAAGGACCCCUGGAUGGGUAAAGGUAAAGGGACCCCUGACCAUUAGGUCCAGUCGUGACCGACUCUGGGGUUGCGGUGCUCAUCUCGCUUUACUGGCCAAGGGAGCUGGUGUACAGCUUCCAGGUCAUGUGGCCAGCAUGACUAAGCCACUUCUGGCGAACCAGAGCAGCUCACGGAAAUGCCGUUUACCUUCCUACCGGAGUGGUGCCUAUUUAUUUACUUGCACUUUUGAUGUGCUUUCAAACUGCUAGGUUGGCAGGAGCAGGGACCGAGGUACGGGAGUUCACCCCGUCGCAGGGAUUCGAACCGCCAACCUUCUGAUCGGCAAGUCCUAGGCUCUGUGGUUUAACCCACAGCGCCACCUGCGUCCCCCUGGAUGGUUACGCUCAGUCAAAGGCAACUAUGGGGUUGCGGCACUCUUCAGGCCGAGGCAGCCAGCGUUUGUCCACAGACAGCUUUCCGGCUCAUGUGGCCAGCAGGACUAAACUGCUUCUGGCACAGUAGGACACCAUGACGGGGUCCUUUACCUUACCAUAUGCAACAUCCUCUGAGGAGCACGCAGACAUGCCAAGAGCUGAUGCCCAGGGAGUUCAAUCCUCUCUGGCCCAGGUGCGCGAGUGUUUUCUGCGCGUGGAACUCUUGCAUGAGCCCAAACCCUACCCAUCAUACCCUCCUCCCACCAGCUGGUGCAGGGUGAGUUCAAUCCUGUUAGGUUCUGGGCGUUCAAUCCUGCUUGGUUUUCUCACACCCUCAAAGGCCACACCACCAGCUGCGUAGUGUUUAGUUUCCAAGAGAUGUUUAGUUUAGUUUCCAAGAGAUUCCAAAGCACCCAAGUCUUGCCUCUUGAUGAGGGAUCUGAUUUGCUAGCCUUCCUAGUGGAAGUUGAAUACUAGUAGUGUCUCAGGAAACCCCCCCCCCCAAAUCAUUCAGUUUGUACAAACUUCACACACACUCACACACUACAUGUGCUACGCUUCUGUUAUAAAUUCAUAGAAAAUCAACCAUACAUCGGAUUUGCACUGUUCCACUUUUAUUUUACUCCAUGAAGGAAGGACUACAAAAUGGGGAAGGUUUGAUACAGGGCAGCCAUAAUCCCUUGAGCAUACCAGCACAUACACAGGAGCCCUGCCCAGUUGCUAUGCCAACCCUGAUGGUCCCAGACAGAAGACCAUCAAGAUCACAAAGAACUUGCAUAUGGGAGUGGAUUCAGCACGGACUGGACAAAGGACAAUAAUCAGCUCUUCCCUCUGGGGGCAGGAAACUGCAAACUCCCCUCUGUCACCUGGAAAGUACUCAUGGGGAGGGGGAAAGGGGGAACCAGCCAGGUGACAGGACACUCAGGUUACCACUGCAACUCCUCCCUCAACCCCUCCUUUCUGUGAUGAAGGUGUGAUGUAUCUGAGGGGUGCUCUUAGGUUACACCCCUUCUGUGAUGUAUGUAUGAUGUUUCUGGGGGUGGUCCUGAUCUACAGGGUGGCAAUUUCAAAAGUCUUUAUAAGGCCUUGCACACCAUUUUUCUGGGUCCCUCCUCUCUCCUGCAAGUGAGGGGAGCACCCUGUUGCAACAGUUCAAUAAAGGCCAAGCCUACAGGCUGCUGUUUUGCUCCAAG